rnacentral:rRNA from 1 species
CAGAGGGGGCUAGCGUUGUUCGGAAUUACUGGGCGUAAAGGGCGCGUAGGUGGCCUGUUAAGUCGAACGUGAAAUCCCCGGGCUCAACCCGGGAACUGCGUCCGAGACUGGCAGGCUCGAAUCCGGGAGAGGGAUGUGGAAUUCCAGGUGUAGCGGUGAAAUGCGUAGAUAUCUGGAGGAACACCGGUGGCGAAGGCGGCAUCCUGGACCGGUAUUGACGCUGAGGCGCGAAAGCCAGGGGAGCAAACGGGAUUAGAUACCCCGGUAGUCCUGGCCCUAAACGAUGAAUGCUUGGUGUGGCGGGUAUCGAUCCCUGCCGUGCCGAAGCUAACGCAUUAAGCAUUCCGCCUGGGGAGUACGGUCGCAAGGCUG